UGGGGAAUUUUGGAUAAUGGGCNAAAGCCUGAUCCAGCAAUGCCGCGUGUGUGAAGAAGGCCUUCGGGUUGUAAAGCACUUUUGUCCGGAAAGAAAUCCUCUGGGUUAAUACCUCGGGGGGAUGACGGUACCGGAAGAAUAAGCACCGGCUAACUACGUGCCAGCAGCCGCGGUAAUACGUAGGGUGCAAGCGUUAAUCGGAAUUACUGGGCGUAAAGCGUGCGCAGGCGGUUUUGUAAGACGGAUGUGAAAUCCCCGGGCUUAACCUGGGAACUGCAUUCGUGACUGCAAGGCUAGAGUAUGGCAGAGGGGGGUAGAAUUCCACGUGUAGCAGUGAAAUGCGUAGAGAUGUGGAGGAAUACCGAUGGCGAAGGCAGCCCCCUGGGCCAAUACUGACGCUCAUGCACGAAAGCGUGGGGAGCAAACAGGAUUAGAUACCCUGGUAGUCCACGCCCUAAACGAUGUCAACUAGUUGUUGGGGAUUCAUUUCCUUAGUAACGUAGCUAACGCGUGAAGUUGACCGCCUGGGGAGUACGGUCGCAAGAUUAAAACUUAAAUGAAUUGAC
rnacentral:rRNA from 1 species